rnacentral:rRNA from 1 species
UAAGGAAUAUUGCUCAAUGGGAGAAAUCCUGAAGCAGCAACGCCGCGUGGAGGAUGAAGGGUCUAUGACUUGUAAACUCCUGUAAAGAAGGAAAAAAUUCCCAUUAGAUGGGAGAUGAUGGUACUUCUGGAGUAAGCCCCGGCUAACUACGUGCCAGCAGCCGCGGUAAUACGUAGGGGGCAAGCGUUGUCCGGAUUUACUGGGUGUAAAGGGUGCUCAGGCGGAUUUGUAAGUCAGAGGUGAAAUCUUACAGCUUAACUGUGAAAGUGCCUUUGAUAAUGCAAGCCUAGAGUAUGGAAGAGAGUGAUGGAAUAUCUGGUGUAGCAGUGAGAUGCGUAGAUAUCAGAUAGAACACCAAUGGCGAAGGCAGUCACUUGGUCCAUUACUGACGCUAAAGCACGAAAGCGUGGGUAGCAAACA